rnacentral:rRNA from 1 species
GAUGAACGCUGGCGGCGUGCUUAACACAUGCAAGUCGAACGGUGAACGAGGGAGCUUGCUCCCUCCGGAUCAGUGGCGAACGGGUGAGUAACACGUGAGCAAUCUGCCCUGGACUCUGGGAUAAGCGUUGGAAACGACGUCUAAUACCGGAUACGAGGCGUGGGGGCAUCCCCAACGCCUGGAAAGAACUUCGGUCCAGGAUGAGCUCGCGGCCUAUCAGCUAGUUGGUGAGGUAACGGCUCACCAAGGCGACGACGGGUAGCCGGCCUGAGAGGGUGACCGGCCACACUGGGACUGAGACACGGCCCAGACUCCUACGGGAGGCAGCAGUGGGGAAUAUUGCACAAUGGGCGCAAGCCUGAUGCAGCAACGCCGCGUGAGGGACGGCGGCCUUCGGGUUGUAAACCUCUUUUAGCAGGGAAGGAGCGAAAGUGACGGUACCUGCAGAAAAAGCACCGGCUAACUACGUGCCAGCCGCCGCGGUAACAC